GCGGCUGUAGCUCAAUGGUAGAGCGUUGCCCUCCCAAGGCAAUGAUGCCGGUUCGAUCCCGGUCAGCCGCU
rnacentral:tRNA from 1 species